AAUGAACGUUGGCGGCGUGGAUUAGGCAUGCAAGUCGAGCGAGAACCCGCAAGGGGGACAGCGGCGAACGGGGUAGGACAAUCUAGGUAACGUACCCUCGGGGCGAGGACAGCCACGGGAAACUGUGGGUAAUACUCGAUAAACUUCCCAAUCAUUAUCGGAGGGGAAGCAAUGGGUGUGAUUCCACCUGAGGAGCGGCUUAGACAGUAUCAGCUUGUUGGUGAGGUAACGGCUCACCAAGGCUACGACGCUUAGGGGGUGUGAGAGCAUGGCCCCCACCACUGGCACUGAGACACUGGCCAGACACCUACGGGUGGCUGCAGUCGAGAAUCUUCGGCAAUGGACGCAAGUCUGACCGAGCGACGCCGCGUGCGGGAUGAAGGUCUUCGGAUUGUAAACCGCUGUCAGAGGGGAUGAAGUGUACGGGGGUACUCCCCUGUACUUGACAGAGCCUCAGAGGAAGCACGGGCUAAGUUCGUGCCAGCAGCCGCGGUAAU
rnacentral:rRNA from 1 species